AAAUAAAUAUACUGUCCAUCCAGAGGUGAAGAACUAAAUAUGCUGUCCAUCCAGAGGUGAGAACUAAAUAUGCUGUCUAUCCAGAGGUGAAAAUAUAAAAUAAAUAUACUGUCCAUCCAGAGGUGAGAACUAAAUAUGCUGUCUAUCCAGAGGUGAAAAUAUAAAAUAAAUAUAUCUCAAUCCAGAGG